UACGUAGGCAGCGAGCGUUGUUCGGAAUUACUGGGCGUAAAGAGUGUGUAGGCGGUGCUCCCAGUCUGUUGUGAAAUCUCCCGGCUUAACUGGGAGGUGCAGCGGAAACUAGAGUGCUAGAGGGUGGGAGAGGUAAGCGGAAUUCCUGGUGUAGCGGUGAAAUGCGUAGAUAUCAGGAGGAACACCUGUGGUGUAGACAGCUUACUGGACCACUUCUGACGCUGAGACACGAAAGCGUGGGUAGCAAACAGG
rnacentral:rRNA from 1 species